ACUCUCUACAUUUUUGUUUUCUCUAACCCUUUUAUUUUUCUGUCUCUCUGCAUGAGACUGCGAAUGUUUGAGGCUUUGAUCUCAUGUUCUUCUCUCUCUUCGCUCUGAUCCUCUUCCAACCACGGUUGUACUCCCAUUCCCAUUUCUCUCUUUUCGUUCUCUCUGUGAAUCUGAAUUCUCAAUUCAAUUUUAUUAUUUUUAUGAUUGGAUAGAUUGAAAUUCCGAAACCAAUUCAUCGUUAUACUGUGUGUACAAAUGUUGCAUGGAAUUCACUUUAUUGGGUCUAAUUAUUAGUUGUUUAUUUAAAUUUCUUUAUUUUGUUUUUCAUCUGUGAAUUUCAGGGACGCGGUUUUCCUUCAGUUUUUAACUCAGGUUCAGCUUCUCUGCUAGCAACAAUAAGAUUCAUGUUUAUUGGGAAUUUGAACUAAAAUCCUUGGGUUUUAGAUUUUAGCUUGAGUACUCUCACGUCCUGUUUAGAGACUAUUAUUUAAGAGAUGGGUCAAAUGACACAUGAGAUUGAUGACACUGUGCAUGGUAAGAAUCAGACUGGGUCACGGUUGAAUGACGGUGGUAUUGGAGGAGGUGUUGUUCUGAAGAAAGGGCCAUGGACAGCUGCUGAAGAUGUUAUUUUGGUGGACUAUGUCAAUACGCAUGGAGAGGGGAAUUGGAAUGCUGUUCAGAAGUAUUCAGGACUUUCUCGGUGUGGAAAAAGUUGCAGAUUGCGAUGGGCCAAUCACCUAAGGCCAAACUUAAAGAAAGGCGCAUUUACUGCAGAAGAGGAGCAGAUGAUCGCUGAACUCCAUGCCAAAAUGGGAAACAAAUGGGCACGCAUGGCAGCACAUUUGCCUGGUCGUACAGAUAACGAAAUAAAAAACUACUGGAACACCCGGAUGAAGAGGCGUCAACGGGCUGGCUUGCCACUUUAUCCUCCGGAAGUAGUACUGCAAGCAUUUCAAGAUAAUAAGCAUGACCAAGGUACUGCUGAAAUCAGCGAUGGAGAUGGAGGCCACCAGGAUUUCAUGGAGAAAAACAAUUACGAGAUACAUGAUGCAAUAUAUGACAGUCUGAAGGAAAAUCAGGGAAUCUUACCUUUUGUGCCUCAGCUUCCUGAUAUUUCUGCUAAUAGCAUUCUGCCAAAUGUUCUUGGUUCUCCUCCAUACUGUAAUUUCCUGCCAUCGACAUUACCUAACCAUGAUCAUCUUCAAGAGUCAUCCGUGUCUUUUAUUGGUUCCAAUGAAUUGAACAGUAAUGGGUUUUAUCCAUUUGACCACUUUAAGGAUAAUACUUCUGAUAAGAUUGCAGAAUCAUUUGGAUUGCAUUCUCCCCUUGAUCAUGGUGCCUCCUCAUAUGGCUCAAUCUGUUACAGCCAUUCAAUAUCGAAUGACAAUUACUCUACUUCUAAGCUAGCUUCUGAGGCUGUGAAGUCAGAGCUCCCUUCACUCCAAUAUCCAGAAACUGAAUUUGGUAGCUGGGGUACCUCUCCCCCGCCUCCAUUGAAUGAUUCUACUGAUGUUUUCAUCCAUUCUCCUCAACCACCUUAUGCACUAGACUCAGGUUCUUCUUCAUCACUCACUCGUUGCUUCCUUAAUGAAUUUCUUUAUCAGCAGGCGAAGACUCUUGGUUAUUCAAAUAAUAAUUGGCCUGAGAGUUCAAAUUCAUCCAUUGCAACUCCCGUUGAUGGAGCUGAGAGUUCAGCUUUGAAUAUGUACGAGACAGAGUGGGAGGAUUAUGCUGACCCUGUAUCUUCCUUUGGUGCAACUUCAAUCCUGAAUGAGCAUCCUGUUGUUGGCACCAACGGAAAGCCAUGGGAUGGGUGGGAACCUUUUCAGACCUUUAGUGGCAACAAUGUGAAAUUGCAGUCAGUUGAGGUUUCGGCCCCUAUGAGUGAAAAUCAAUCCAUGUCCAUGUCUCUGUUGAAUCUCACUUGGCCAGAUGUCUUGCUGGCCUCAGAUUGGCACGAGCUGUAUUCUGAGCACAACAACAUGAACCAAGCUGACAUGAUUGAUGCUAGUGAUAAUUUCACGAGACAGUAAGCAUGUGGUGACUAAUGGAACUCAUUUUUCAAGUACAGGAUCUUGUUUCUUUCGUGUGGAUUAAGAUGACUCUUUUUGCAAUUGGCUGAUAUUAAUUCAGAAAACUGCUCAGUAUGUGAUUCAAACUUUCUAUUAUCCAUUUAUGUUUGGGAAGUGUGUGUAACAUCUACUGUUCUGAGAGUCUAUAUGGGUGUGACCUGUGUUAUCAAAUACCCAGGGUUUUGAAUAAUUUGUGGAAUAACACUGCACUUGAAACUUUGGACAACAUGUAGCUCAAUGGAAUGACAAUUGUUUUGCAUUUUCUUUUUGGUUCCAUUUGAAAGUGCAUGAAGGUUUGGUAGCUUUUGGAUAUUUUAGAAAGCAUGUGUUUUUGAUAAAAACAGCAUAAAGAUAGGCUCGGUUAACUCCCGAUGUAAAUUUAGGAUAUUAAUCAUUUUCAAGGGAAGAAUUGGUCACCAACUAAGCAAUCUUAUUGAUUUUACUGUUUUAGAAAGGUUAAGAAUCAACCCAAAACUUGAACCACAAGGCCAACUUCCCACCUCCCAGUCACACCGUGGUUCUCCAAAAAAAUCUAAGAAAAACCUUUCACUUAGCCCAUCAGUUAGCUCACGGCCUUUAGGCGUUUCAUCAUCACCCAUUCACUAAACCAAGCUCAAUCCCUUCCCCUAAUGCGCAGCAAAUCCCAACAAAGAGUCCACCAAAAAAACCUAGAAAAUCAACCAAGAACGUCAUUUCCCCCAACCUCUUGUUUCUAUCUAUCAUCAAAGUUCUCUUAAGAACUCACUAAGAACCUAUCCUGAAUCACUUCUAACCUUCCCAAAACUGUCCUAUCCCAUAAUAAACCCCUUAAAUCUUUUAAUCUUGGCCUAACCUCAGACUUAACCACCGUUUUUCAGCCUUA